rnacentral:rRNA from 1 species
UGGGGAAUAUUGCACAAUGGGCGAAAGCCUGAUGCAGCAACGCCGCGUGCGGGAUGACGGCCUUCGGGUUGUAAACCGCUUUCAGCAGGGACGAAGGUUUUCUGACGGUACCUGCAGAAGAAGCACCGGCUAACUACGUGCCAGCAGCCGCGGUGAUACGUAGGGUGCGAGCGUUGUCCGGAAUUAUUGGGCGUAAAGAGCUUGUAGGCGGUCCGUUGCGUCGGAAGUGAAAACUCAGGGCUUAACCCUGAGCCUGCUUUCGAUACGGGCGGACUUGAGGGAUGUAGGGGAGAACGGAAUUCCUGGUGGAGUGGUGGAAUGCGCAGAUAUCAGGAGGAACACCAGUGGCGAAGGCGGUUCUCUGGACAUUUCCUGACGCUGAGAAGCGAAAGCGUGGGGAGCAAACAGGCUUAGAUACCCUGGUAGUCCACGCCGUAAACGGUGGGCACUAGGUGUGGGACCCAUUCCACGGGUUCCGUGCCGUAGCUAACGCAUUAAGUG